AGCGAACGCUGGCGGCAGGCCUAACACAUGCAAGUCGAACGGAUCCUUCGGGAUUAGUGGCAGACGGGUGAGUAACGCGUGGGAACAUACCCUUUCCUGCGGAAUAGCUCCGGGAAACUGGAAUUAAUACCGCAUACGCCCUACGGGGGAAAGAUUUAUCGGGGAAGGAUUGGCCCGCGUUGGAUUAGCUAGUUGGUGGGGUAAAGGCCUACCAAGGCGACGAUCCAUAGCUGGUCUGAGAGGAUGAUCAGCCACAUUGGGACUGAGACACGGCCCAAACUCCUACGGGAGGCAGCAGUGGGGAAUAUUGGACAAUGGGCGCAAGCCUGAUCCAGCCAUGCCGCGUGAGUGAUGAAGGCCUUAGGGUUGUAAAGCUCUUUCACCGGAGAAGAUAAUGACGGUAUCCGGAGAAGAAGCCCCGGCUAACUUCGUGCCAGCCGCCGCCGUAACAC
rnacentral:rRNA from 1 species